rnacentral:rRNA from 1 species
UCUCAGUUCGGACUGGAGUCUGCAACCCGACUCCACGAAGCUGGAUUCGCUAGUAAUCGCGCAUCAGCCACGGCGCGGUGAAUACGUUCCCGGGCCUUGUACACACCGCCCGUCAAGCCAUGGGAGCCGGGGGUACCUGAAGUGCGUAACCGCGAGGAGCGCCCUAGGGUAAAACUGGUGACUGGGGCUAAGUCGUAACAAGGUAUC